UACGGAGGGGGCUAGCGUUGUUCGGAAUUACUGGGCGUAAAGCGCACGUAGGCGGCUUUGUAAGGUAGAGGUGAAAGCCCGGAGCUCAACUCCGGAAUUGCCUUUAAGACUGCAUCGCUUGAAUCAUGGAGAGGUGAGUGGAAUUCCGAGUGUAGAGGUGAAAUUCGUAGAUAUUCGGAAGAACACCAGUGGCGAAGGCGACUCACUGGACAUGUAUUGACGCUGAGGUGCGAAAGCGUGGGGAGCAAACAGG
rnacentral:rRNA from 1 species